GCUCCUGUGGCUCAGUCGGUUAGAGCAUCGUGCUAAUAACGCGAGGGUCGUCGGUUCAAGUCCGACCAGGAGUA
rfam:Edhazardia aedis TSNM 41457 supercont1.65, whole genome shotgun sequence.